AUACGUAGGUGGCAAGCGUUGUCCGGAUUUAUUGGGCGUAAAGCAUGCGUAGGCGGAUACUUAAGUGGGAUGUGAAAACCCGGGGCUCAACUCCGGACCUGCAUUCCAAACUGGGUGUCUAGAGUACAGGAGAGGAAAGGGGAAUUCCUAGUGUAGCGGUGAAAUGCGUAGAGAUUAGGAAGAACACCAGUGGCGAAGGCGCCUUUCUGGACUGUAACUGACGCUGAGGCAUGAAAGCGUGGGUAGCAAACAGGAUUAGAUACCCUGGUAGUCCACGCCGUAAACGAUGAGUACUAGGUGUCGGGGUUUCAAUACUUCGGUGCCGCAGUUAACACAUUAAGUACUCCGCCUGGGAAGUACGAUCGCAAGAUUAAA
rnacentral:rRNA from 1 species